GAAAGAGGCUAGAAGCAAUAAGGACUGCUAAUCCCUAUCUCCA
rnacentral:tRNA from 1 species